rnacentral:rRNA from 1 species
GAUGAACGCUAGCGGCAGGCCUAAUACAUGCAAGUCGAGGGGCAGCGGGAAUAGCAAUAUUUGCCGGCGACCGGCGCACGGGUGCGUAACACGUAUACAAUCUGCCCAUAUCAGGGGGAUAGCCCGGAGAAAUCCGGAUUAAUACCCCAUAAUAGUCGAGGAGGCAUCUUCUUGAUUUGAAAGCUACGGCGGAUAUGGAUGAGUAUGCGUCUGAUUAGUUAGUUGGUGAGGUAACGGCUCACCAAGACCACGAUCAGUAGGGGAUCUGAGAGGAUUAACCCCCACACGGAUACUGAGACACGGAUCCGACUCCUACGGGAGGCAGCAGUAAGGAAUAUUGGACAAUGCCCGCAAGGGUGAUCCAGCCAUGCCGCGUGCAGGAAGAAGGCCCUAUGGGUCGUAAACUGCUUUUACACCGGAGAAAACCCCCUUACGUGUAAGGGGCUGAUAGUAUGGUGAGAAUAAGCAUCGGCUAACUUCGUGCCAGCAGCCGCGGUAAU